UACGUAGGGUGCAAGCGUUGUCCGGAAUUAUUGGGCGUAAAGAGCUCGUAGGCGGUCUGUCGCGUCGGAUGUGAAACCUCGGGGCUCAACCCCGAGCCUGCAUUCGAUACGGGCAGACUAGAGUUCGGUAGGGGAGACUGGAAUUCCUGGUGUAGCGGUGAAAUGCGCAGAUAUCAGGAGGAACACCGGUGGCGAAGGCGGGGCUCUGGGCCGAUACUGACGCUGAGGAGCGAAAGCGUGGGGAGCGAACAGG
rnacentral:rRNA from 1 species